AGGGCAUCUGCAGUGGGAAGGGGACAGAGCAGAGGGGACUCAGCUCAGUUCCUCCUCUGCAUCCAAAGAAAUCCCAGCUCCAGGUCUCCCUCUGGCACUUACUCCCUUCCGAACCAGGCGCUCGGAAUCCCGGGUCAGAGCAACAGCAUGGCUGGGGAAGGACAGGAGAGAUGAAACUGGGAGAUGAAGCUGAACAAUAUUGCACCUCAGGAGGAGACCCUGCUGCUGCACUGUCAAAGGACAAGCCUAAAAAUCUCCUGCUCCCAAAAAGGCCAAAGUUAUGGAAAACAGGGACUGUGGAAAAGGACUCACGUGGCAGCGCGUUCCACCAGCGUCUCAGUGAGCCGCAGGAGGUGCGUGGAGAUGAUGGAGAGGGAAUUCUUCAUGAACAGCUUCAGGUCAGUCACAACCUGUGGGAGAUUGGCCACAGCCAGGCCAAGCACAAUGGGACAGAUUUAGUGACCAAAUAAUGCUCAGCAGAACUCCCUGGCACUGUUAUCCCCUCCUAGUUCUGGGUGAUGGGAAGGGAAAUCCUCCUCAUAUGGAAUGCAUCCCUGGUCACUGAUUUGUGAAAGCUGCUGUUGCUUUCCACAGACAAAACCAAAAUCCAUUUUUUUCAGGGGACUUCUCAGGUAUUGUCAAGUUUGAAGCAGAAAAUUCCCAACCAACAAAAGUUGAUCAUCCUGAGGAGGACUGAUCCUGAAUGAUGUGUGGCUCCCAGUGAGCAGAAUCAGUGGUUCUGGAGCUUUUCAGAGAUGUCAGUGGAAUUUUGUGGCCUUUUACCACCAGGAAGCAGCCCUACACAUCCCACUCCCCUGGAUGGAUGAGCCACUGCAGCAUCAUUAGUUUAAAGCCAUCAUUAAUUUAAAGGGAAUACAGGCUAGAGUGUGCCAGGGCAUGAGAAGGAUUGCAUAAAAAUAUUCAAUUAAAGAACUGAGGAGGAGGAAUACAGAGGGAGAAAAAAAGGUUCUGUCUGUACCUGAUCAUUCCUGCUUCUGCCAGUGUGCAACUUCCCAGCUACAUCUCCAAUCAGCUCCUGAGGACAAGAGCAGGAUUGCUGUCAGGAUCUCUGUGCUCUAAGCAGGACAAUCCACAUGAGCAGAUCUCCCUGCCUGGGAGGGACUCAGCUCCAGGAUCCAGGGAGUAGCCAUGGGAUGUGUUCUGGGGAGGGCAGGUUUGGGUUCUGGGCUUGUACAGUGCCACAAAAAGGGGCUUGGGCACCCUUGGCUGUGCCCCAGGGGGUUCAGUGCCACGAGCUCUAAAGGAAUUUCACAGAGGGACAGAGGCACAAGCCCUCAGUGUCAGGCAGACGAUCAGGACCAAGAGGUUAGAGGAGCCAAACCUUUAGUCUGCGCUCGUUGGCAGUGUGGAUAUCCUCAUCAGUUUGUUUCAGCACAAAUACUCCUUUGGACCAUUCCUCAGAGAUCUGCAAACACCAGAAGAACCAGUCAGCCACGAUGGUGAUUAAAUCCAAGGAGGCUGCUCUCAGGUCAGGAGAGAAUCAUUCACCUGACAGUUUGAAAAGGAAAGAAAUACCUUUUCCAGGCCACUCAGGAUCUUCUCCAGCUCAGUUUUAGACAGGAUCCCAGACUUCUCCAAGGCUUUGGCAUAAGCCAUGCUCCCCUGGAUGUCGACUUCAGACAGUCUCUGGUCAUAACUAAUGGAAGCAUUGAGCAUCUCCAUGAUUGGAUCUGUGCUUCCACUGAAUCUUCCACCCCAAAGUUUAUUCCCCUGAGAGAGAAAACAGUGAAUUAAAGUGGCCUAAUAACUUCAGAUAAAUCCUAUGCAGGAUAUAACAUCCAGUGAUGCAUUUAUGGGGGCCAGCACAGAAACAAAAGUGGGGUUUUCCCACCCAAACCAGGAUUCCUGUGGUGACCUCACCCCCUGGAAUGUGUCACCCAUUUCAGUGGGUGACCAAAGGCUUGUGCAGGGCUCCAGCUGUGCCCCACAGCAGGGCGUGUGUCGUGUGGGAGCUUCUCCAGCAGUGACUCAGAGCCUGGGUGGCCUCACCUGAGCUGUGUCACCUGCUCAGGAGCUUUUUGCUUGCCCAGGUAAGACAACCCCUGAAGUUUUAAUUCUGCCAGACUUACACUGAAACCCAAGAUUUCAAAAGCAACUCUCCAGUGCUACCAGGCACAGAAAGGAAUUGGAGGACUCCUGAAGGAAGGGACAAAAUAGAGCAGCACUGCAGAGUGGAUAAUAAUUACUAAUCUACUUUUUAAACACCCCAACAAGUUUCUUCUCAUGCUGGUCACUAUAACUACCAUGGACAGCAAGAGCUGGCAGGACAGCUGGAAGCUGAUCUGUGCCAGGGCUUUACCAGUCAGACAAAACACUGUUGAGUAACCUUAAAGAUGUUUUCCCUGGUGACUGUCUCCAUGUCCCUGAGCCUGAAAGGACAACAGGAGAGUGCCUGCAGAGAUAAGGGGCAGCCAUGUGUGGAAGGCAGCUUUGUUAGAAAGCUGAAGGAAGGCAGAGAGAGGAAUCAGAAUCUAAAAAGAAGUGUUAGAGCUCCUCAGCACUCAUUUGGUGCCCCCAGGAGCAAAAUUAAUGCUAAAUUAAAGGCCAUUCCAGAGGCUCAGCACUUGAGUGGGGAACAGGAAUAUCCAGGUACAACUUCAGUACUUAAAGCUUUCCAUCAAAGCAAGAAGUGUGUCAGCAAAAA